GAAGUCAGCCAGACCGCCGCUGGUGCAAUCGCCGAAAGGCCGCACUGGAGGAAGGUCCGGACUGCACAGGGUAGCGUAGGAGGUAACACCUCUCCACCGUAAGGUGAGGAUCAGAGCAACAGAGACGAGCCGGUUAAGUCCGGGUGAAACGGGCAAUCUCUACGCGCAGCAACACCAAAUAGGCACACGUUGACCUGUCCCGGGGAGUGUGCGGGUAGGUGGCAUCGAGCCGUUCUGGCGACAGGCGGCCCAGAGGAAUGGCGGUCACAGCUCAGCGUCGCGAGACACGGGGCUGCACAGAAUCCGGCCUAUCGGCUGACUUCACAC
rnacentral:RNase_P_RNA from 1 species